ACUUGAUUGUGUGGGUUGUUUCUUUAUUGUUCUUACUGGAGAUUCAUCUGCUGUCUAUCUUUUGAUUUUUCAAUGAAGCAAUUUUAAGACGUAUAGACGAAAAUUCCAGCAAUAAAUCUCGCAGGGGAGGGGACGAAGAAGGGAAUCCCGCUUAUCAAAGAACAAGAUGAAGUUUGAUUUUUGGGUCCAACAUCAAGAAGAGAGAUGGACAAAGAUGAUGAGAAUUAUGAUACAGACAAUGAUUGAGUGUCAAAUAGAGGCAUAAGUGAUGUGUUGAUAGAAGUAGAAUUGAAGACUUAUUUGAUGAGACAAAGAAAAUUUGUAAAUUGUA